GCGACGAAUGGCAACCUUGCUGCGCAAAUGAGGGCUCAGAACGGAGCGCGGGGCGGGACUUCCGGCGUCCUCCUCCCGGCGGUCAUUUUGGCUGUUCGGGUGUGUUCAUCUGGGUGGAGGUUUCAAGAGUGCUGGGUUGUGGUCGGGGUACCAGACAGAGAAGGAGUCAGAGGGGUCAUCGUCCCUUCCUCACAAAGGCGAGUGUGGGAAUUCGGUCGCGGCGACGCCUAAGAUGGUCCCCGGGGUACGAACCUCCAGCCCGCUCCCGGCCCCACUCAGCCUACAGGCCGGGAUGGCGGCGGCCAGGCCGAUAGACACGGCUCAGGUACAAGCAGUGAGUCCGGUACAUCCUCAACACUAGACUAUUCUGGACCCUCCUCUGAAGCCAGCGCCACGGGCACCAUCUUGAUCCUGUUGCAGGCAACACCCCGGGAAUCUGGGCACGGCUCCUUUAAGAAGGAGCCAGGACGCCCACCCCUUGCAGUGCUGCUUUCCGUGUUCCGGGAGGUUCCACCGUUGUGGGGGUGGCCUGUCGUGGAGGCCUAUGGAGCUGUGAGAACAUCAUUGCCUAGAAGAGCCAAUGAAGAGGCUCCAGAUGCGACAGCUGGUCAAAGAAGGCGCAACAAGAGCCGUUGUCCCAACUGCACAGAGUCCAAUGGCAGCAGUCACGCUCAGGGUCCCGGCUCAGGUGAAUGCACAUUUCCCCAGGGCCAACUCACCUCCUGCAGCUCAGGCCCCGGCAUCCAGGAUAGUGAGAUGCUGGUGGGUGUAAUCGAUGGGAGAGGGGCUGACGGUAUAAAGACAGGGAAGGGCAAGUGAGCUGGGAGCAUCUUGGAUCAGAGUGUGUGAGGUGGAGUGGCACCUGGACUGUCAGCCUGGGGGGCCCUGGGAGCCUUUCCCUGAAGGAGAAACAUGAUUUGAGUUAAGGAUAUAAAAGCUUAUGAAGAGGCUGUUUACAAGAGCAGACUGCAGAGGGGUGAUGACAGUGACUGCCAAAGGGAGGUUGAAUUAGAGUCAGCCCUGAGGCCUGAAUCCGAAAGUGUAGAUAAUCAGCUGAGGUCUCCUGGCUCCAGGAGACUCAAUGGAGACCAGAGCCCACUGAGCCUCACCACAGUUUCCUCCGUCUCCUCUGAUUGUCGACACAGCUAAGGGAAGGGUGUCCCGCUUCAUCCCCGUGGUGUCUGGGAUCCUGGAGAAGCAUGAAACACAGGCUGUUCAUACAUGCAGCACUCGAUAUGAGGCUGUUACGGGCAGAGGUACCAGCAUGUACAAAAUGCUUGCAGAUGAGACCGAGCUGCAAGUAUGGAGGAAAAUAGAGGUCACUUUUCCUUUUGCCGGGCACAGGGAGGCAGGAGUAAAGGAAGCGGGGUGAAUCACAACAUGGAGGUGGUUACCCCUGCCUUUACAUAUCCCAUGUAGUUGCUGAGGAAGCUGCCACAAAGUCCAGGUGGAAUGGACCAUGUUCUCGGAGCGUGAGGAAGAGAAUGGGAGGGAUUGGUGAUGAGACACCCCCCGCCCCAGGGAUUUUAGCAACCGUGAGAGUCAUUUUCAGUGAGGAGAUGUUCAGACUCUGUCUUAUUGUAGAAAACAGACUGGAGGCAGCUUGGCAUAAAAGUCUAGAAUGAGGUUCUUAGUGUGAUAUCUUGUGUGACUGCUACUUUGCACUGGGCUGUCAAUAAGGGUAGGUAUAAAGAAAAGGGCAGGCUGCUGAGUGGGCAUCAAUACCCCACCAAGUGAGAAGAGGGCCAGCCCGGGGCCUUCAUAGUGGACUUGAGGGUCCACCAGGUCUGUAGUGUCCUGGAUCGUGUUUGAUGGUGCCAAGUACUCUUGACGGCCUGUGAGGAGUAUGGAGUGGGUGCAGGACAAAGGGGGUACCUGAGGGGACGUGGUGGGGUGCAAUGACAGAUGUGCAGGCAGAGAGUGCGUUUGAACUGAUGGCCGUGGUCCUUGGUAUUAGGGGCUUACAGUGAAGGUUGGAGGUACGGUUGGGUGGAAACCUGGGAGGUAACUCUGCAGGAUUUCAGGGGAAUUGCCUGGCUGGGGGCUGGGGAGGCCCUGAACUUCGAUUACGUGUGUGUGGGCCGUCUCCUGAGCAGAGAGUGACAUGAGUGGCGCCAGGGCCUCGUGUCUUCUGAAUCGAAUGAGCAGGGGGCAGGCAUUUGGGGAUGGAUUUGUGGGGCUGUCUGUGUUCUCACCUCUCCCUGUUAUGGCAGGGCCGUGUGACCUUUGAAGACGUGGUCGUGUACUUCUCCUGGGAGGAGUGGGGGCUCCUGGAUGAGACUCAGAGAUGCCUGUACCAUGAUGUGAUGCUGGAGAACUUUGCACUUGUGACCUCACUGGGUAAGACUCACAGCCUCCCCAGGGUCCCAGGCUCAACUCUGCUCUUGGCUUCCCUCUCUCCUUUGGACUUUAGCUAUGGCCUU
ensembl:lncRNA